GAAAAUUUUAAAACAAAGAAAAAAGUGAACAAAAGAGAAUGAAAGCACAUAAAAAAAGUAAAAAAAAAGAAGAAAAUUUUGAAAAGAGAAAAAGUUAAUGAAAAAUUAUAAAAAUGCAAUAGAAAAUAACCAAGAAUGAUAAAAAAAAAAAGAUAGAAAAAUAAAAAAUUCAAAACUUUAUAAAAAUUUAUGAAAUUAUAAAUAAAGAAAGAAAAUAAAAUAAGAAAAAAAUUAAAGCAAAAGAAAAAAGAUAAAUAAAGCACAAAAAAACAAAAAUACUACAAAAAAUAUAAAAAGUAAGAAAAUGAAAAAGGACAAAAAUUGAAUAAAAAUUUCAAAAAUGAAAUGGAAUGACAAAAUGAAAAAAAUUAGUUUAAAAAAUACAAAAAAUUGAAAAACAUAUAAGUUCUAACAAAUAAAAAGUUUGAGAAUUUAAAAACACAAAUAAGAAAUGAAAGGAAAUUUAUGGAAAAAAAAAAA
rnacentral:lncRNA from 1 species